UCUGCCCGCCCUCACCGCAGUUUUCUCUCUCUCUCUCUGCUAUUCCUCAGAAACCCCCCCGCUUCGCCAAACACCUCUCCGUCGCUCCCUCCUCCCCUCCGCCAGCCAUGAUGGCCACCCUCACCGCCGCCGCCGUUGCCUCCUCCUCCGUCGCCAUACGCCCGUUCUGCGCCCACCAGCCCUCCCUCGCCUCGCCCCAGAUCUGGGCGAGGGCGAGCGGUGGCCAUGGACGAGGGUGGGAUCCGGUGCUUCGUUGCCGAGGGCCGCCGGCGGGGGACUGGUUGAUUGCGUGGUGGUCGGGGGCAGGAUCGGCGGGCUCUGCAUCGCCGCGCGGAGCCCGUUCUUCGGGACCGCGUUCGCGGAGAGCGAGAGCGGGGCGAGGCUCGAAUCGGCGUGAGUUCUUUCUUGGGUGUUCUUCCUUUUUUUUUUCUGGGGAAAAGGAAGAAAAUGGAGAGGAGCACGCCAGUGAGGAAGCCUCACACUUCGACUUCAGAUCUGCUCACGUGGUCGGAGACUCCGCCUCCCCACGAUUCGGUCGCGCCCGGUUCGGCUUCCUCUCGCUCCAAUGCUCACUCUCACCAGCCUUCGGAUGGGAUCAGCAAGGUGGUGUUUGGAGGUCCAAGUGACUGCAGAGAAAUCUGAGAAUUUGAACAAAUGAAUAGUGCUUUUGUAAUCUUCUAGGAAGUCUUGUUCUGCCUACAAGUUGAAAGAAAUCACCGGAAGCACCACGACAGGGCCCCCGACGUGGUCGUCACCGAGGCCAGGGACCGCGUCAAAGAGUUUUAUAUGUUUGAGAUUAUUGGUAUAGACGGAGGAGCAUCAAAGAGUUGCAGAAGAUGCUUCACAGAUGCAACGAGCAGCUCCGACAGUUUAGUCAUGUAAACAAGAAAGCACUUGAUUAGUACGUGAACUUCACAGAGCAAAGAAAGUGAGCUUCUCACAUGGACCGUGUCUUUAGUUUUGUUCAGUAUUUAUAUGAUGGAGAUUGUCGCUAAAAGCCGGAUAUUCUUUUUUGAUUCAUUUCUGUCGUCAUUGUUUAUUGUGCAAGAUUAGUUAUUAUGCAAGAUUAUUUAUUCUCUCAUUAUGUGUACUAUAAAGAAAAAUAUUUAUGUCA